GGUUGGGAGCUGCAAUAAUUGCACCAUGGGACAGUCAAGGGCAGAAGUGAAAAGCAAGGACUCCAGAUCCAGUGGCCCAGGUUCAAAUCUCAACUCUGCCACUUCUCACUGUGUGAACGUGCACUGGUGACUCUGCCUCUCUGUGCCUCUGUUUCCUUGCCUCUGAAAUGGGAACGAGGCACACUAGUGCUAUUUGAACAGCUUGAUUCAGUUUCUAGUGGGCAUUUACACCCCGUUUUCCAGAAUGGGUCUCCCAGUUCACCCCUGCCUCCUGGAAGACUACACAGCCUGCACCAGUAGGCUAUCGUCUUCCUUUCGUGUGUGAGUCCCUAUAGGCGGGGGCCUGCCUUUGUGUGUCCGCUGCUUGGGCAGGGGGCAAUGGUGUGCUGGCAACAGGCCCUCUGGGAGAAAAAGGUACCUGAUCAACAGCGUUGGCAGGUUUCCGUGGUGUAAAUCUUCCGGCAAGGCCCAUUUGAGGCUACCAACAGCUUCACCAUCUUGCAGUGGGAGCUGGUCCAUGCCAGCUUUAGCACCCAGGCAUUCAGUAGGUGCUUAAUAAAUGAUGGUUGAAUAAGGAGAGAAGGCUCCAAAGACUUGGAGAGCUGCCAGGCCAUACUGUAGCUGAGAGAGGGAGGCAUCAGACAGGCUGAGGCCAGGACAAGAGACCACUCUGAAUAAGUAACCCGUGGUGAGAUGGAGGGCAGAGGGGAAGGAGGACUGGUGUCCUCCCUUCCUGGGAACCUCUGCACCUCUGACCCUGCGUCACUUCUGCUCUGGAUCCUCUUGACCUUGGCCUGGUUUGGGCUGUCUGUCUGCACAGAAUGACCUAGCUGGAUCCCAAGCAUUAACCUGACAGAGCUCUGAGAAAUGGUCCAGACGGGUCUCAAACGUCAGAUUCUAUUCCCUCGCUUAUGCUGUUCCCUCUGCCUGAAUGUCUGUUCCACCCACCUCUUCCUAUGUGCCCUGAAACUCUGUCACCCUUCAAAAGCCUCCUCCACCCCAAAUCCCACAGACCCUUCUCCCCUUCUGCUGUUUCUCUGGCCUUACAGCCCCCCUCGUGUGCACCCUGCCUGCCCAUAAAAAUAUUAGUAGCUAACAUUGCAUCUGUACAGCAACCUGUGAUAGAGGUACCGUGAUAAUCCCUUUUGUAGAUGGGGGAAUGGAGGCUCUGUCUUGUUAACGACCACCCAUCCUUUGCCUCUCGGCUUGAGCAUCCGUUCGUUGUGCAGGGAGGCUCCUUGCUGUGGGCUGGGCAGAGCACCACUUCUCUUUCUUCAGUGUGUUUGCUGUGGCGUGUUCCACUAGGCCGUGAGUUCCCUAUCCUAUAGGAGCUCGAAUGAAUGAAUGAAUGAAUGAAUGAAAAUGAAUGAGUGAGUGACUGACUGUCAGCCCCAGGGAGCAUCCCUGUUCUUUUACCCAUUCCUCCUCCCUUUCCAUCCCUGUGGGAGGAGAUGGACCCUCCAGAGGGCAGCCUCACACCAUGGAGGGAUGGUCACAGGGACCCUGCUUGGCCACACCUGCCAGGAGGGAAGGGGAAGUGAGGCUUUGGGCGGGGCUGAAAGCAGGCAUGGUAGAAGGGCAGUGGACCACCCUCCUGUGGCCUAGAGCGGGGCUGACAUGGGCCCACAGCCCUGCCUGUAACCCAGGAAGUUAACGGGGUCCCAAAAUACUUUUUCUUGCACCGCCCCAAGUGGAAAUUCCCCUGUUGGCCCACUUAUUUUCGUUUUAUCUAGAGAAAUAAAGUUGGAAAUAAUCAUUCACACACGCUAAUUACUCCGUUGCUUUCUGAAUUUAGAGCCAGUUUGGCUCUAGACUUUGGCUCCUGCUGAAGGAGGAAUCCCCUGGGAGGGGCAGGGUGAGGGCCAAGGCAGGAGGCCAGAGUCUGCGCUGACACUGGGGCCUCCUCAGGGUCUGCCCUCCAGUUGCCCUCUCCUAGCAGGCUGGGAACUUCCCAGAAGCAGCAGCCCAGAUGGGGGUCUGAGCGAGGGAGGGUGGCCAGAGGCAGUCUCCAGGAUUCUGGUUGACCGAGACCCAUAAUGGAUGACUUCCCAGGCUGUUCUACCCCACCUGGACCUCUGAGUCAUAAGAAUUUGCUGCUAUUUAUCGAGCACUUACUAUGUGCUGGGCGCUGGGCCAAGCACUUUGUCUGCAUCAUCCCAGCUAGGCCUGCUAACUUCCCUUGAAGCAGGUACUAUUUUUCUCCCCAUUUGGCAGUUUGAGGGUGCCUGGGGGCCGGGGCUCAGGGCCGGGAAGUGGUGGGGCUGGGAUUGUAUCCAGCCUGUAGGACCCCCAGAGCCCGAAGGGGCCCCUCGGAUAGGCCCCUCAGUCACUCAAAAGGGAACGGUCUCUGAAGCCUGGACUCCCGAGACAACCACGUCACUGGUGUCCUGGCCUCCAGGCCACCCUCCUUGUGGCCCUGACUGCCACUCCCUUCUUCCCCAUAGUCCUGAGGCUCUGCGUCUGGAAGCCCCGUGUAGCCUCACCUGGGCGGCUUGGGGAAAAUACAGAUUUCCCAGGCCCUGCCUCACCCCGCUGAGUCAGAAUCCCACUGCGGGAGAGGGGGCUGGAAACCCAGAUUUUAAAAUGUUGUCCUGGGAAUACAGAGGCCUGCGGACUCCCAGAACCACUUCCCAGCCCAGUGCUGUUCAGGCUGCUUUAAGAGACUGCCUUGCCCUUAACCCAGAUCCCUAUGACCCUGCCCCCGCUUGUGUUCUCAGCCUCUGCCCCCUGCUACCCUAACCCAGCUCUGCACACACCACACCACACUGACCCCCGCACGCCCCAAUUUGCCUUUAUCCAGGCACCUGCUGCCGCUGUUUCCUUCUGGAAACAGGUCCCAGCUGGCCACAGACCCCACAGAGCUUGUGUAAUACUGUGGACCGGUCGAUCGCGACCCCGCUGUUGCUAGCCCAGGCCUGGCACACAGCCUGGGGGAAUCGUGGUGGGUGAGCGAUGGUGGCCGGGAAGGCGGAACAAGGGAGGGCUGCCCAUGACAGGUGGGGCUUCUAGGCUGGGCGCACAGGCACUCUCUGGGGGCCGGCACCUUGCCUAACAUGCAAAAGGCAUUUGAUGACUGUUCCUUAACCGCUUAAUGAAUGGUGAUGGGUCGUGUGACAGGUGAGAGCCACUUUCGGAAGCAACGCAGAUUGGCCGGUUUAGGCAAAAGAUGGAGAAGGUGCCUUCCGGGCCAUCUCUGAGGACCGUGAAUAUUAAUGGUCCGAACUCAUUUAUGGCUCGGAUGGGAGUGAGGGGCUGGUGCUUUCUUGCAUGAUUUCAUUUCAGUAUCUCAGGAGCCCUGGGAGGGGGUGCUGAUGUAAUCCUUAUUUCGUUCAAUGGAAACUGAGCCCUAGACAGGUGACUUAGUAGGGUCACACAGCUGGGAGGGGCUCCUGCAGAACGGAGCCUUGCCUGUUGUGUGAAAAAAAAUCAAUGAGUCUGCACUCUACAGUUUAUGAAGCAGUAACACCUUAUCUCAGUUGGUUCCAGCUGUGGCUUGGAGGUGUGGCUCUACGUUUUCACCUGUGCCCACAUCCCAGGGUCAGGAAACCUGCAUCCAGGGGCCUUCUGUGUCUGUAAGGGGCGGUGGUGGGAAGAGAUCCCGCCUCCGCGCUGGCGGGAGAGGGAGAAACAAAGAGGCAGUGUUGGGGGCUCUGGCACACAGUAGGUGUUUGGGGACCCCUGUGGUCAGUUCAGGCAGAGCCAACUCUGGUCCCAUCUGGACCUUGGAACAGCCCAGAUCAGGCUUCAGUCUUUGAGCCAAGGCCCACAGGGUGUGGGUGACGGGUCCAAGGUCAUACCUGCCAUAAGGACUAGAGCAGAGGGUGUGAGGCUCCUCCACCACGGCCGAGAGGUGCAGGGAAUGGGUCAGGGGGAUUCUGUCUGUGCGGGAUGACCUCCGUCAGAGCCAAUAAACCACAGAGCCUGGCCCCAAAGGGUCCCCGGGCAAACCCCUCUCAGGGGUGUCCAGGACUGCUGUGGGGCCUGGAGUGUUAUUGCUGUCACGGAAGUUCGGGGCCAUACCUGAGUAGGGGCAGUGGUCCUGCAGCCACGAGUGGGGGGUGUAACAGACUCUGUGGCCUGCCUCCAGGCACUGGCAUGUGGGAAGGGCGAAAUGCACCAGCACCCCACCCAGACUAGAAAUCCAGGUGCUGGCUUCCCCCACACACCUCCCUCACCCCCGCCCCGCCCCACCGCCAGGCCUUUGCAGAUGCUAUCCCUCUGUCUGCAGUGGCCUUCCCCUCCUCUCCUGGCAGGUGCUGGCUCAUCCUUUAAGACCCCUCCAGGAAGCCCUGCCUGACUCCCACCCCAAGGGCCAGGCUGGUCCGCCCUGUCAGGAUUUCCAUCUGGCUGCUCCACAGGAUGCUGAGAACCUUGAGGGCCUGGUCUGAGAUGCCAGUGGAGUGGGCAGGGAAAGCAGCUGUAAGGUGCAGCCCAGUUCACGUGACUGUCCCUGCAGCCCAGAGAGGAGACCAGGCUGGGGAGCCUUGAGGCCAGAUAGCUAGCCAAACAUGCCCAUUUCACAGAGGGAACGUUGAAGGCCCAAGGUGCUUGGGACUGACCUAGAGCACCCUGGGGAGUGGUUGGUAGUCCCUUUGUGGCUUGUAAGAGGAGAGCCCAGGGCUAUGUGGCCAUACCCCUCCCCCACUCCGGUCCCCAGCUGGAGCAUUUGUCUGCAGGAUCCAGGUCAGGUCUGGGGGAGAUGGGAAGAAGCCCAGGUGAGCAAAGUCCCCAGGGCUCAGGUCUGCACUUGGUCUUCCCAUGUGGAGGACAAAGCUCCUUAGAGAAAAUGCUUGCUGUCCUAAAGCUGGCAGGAAAUGCACAUCGAUAGCUCAUUCCAGCAAGAAGGUGCACAGGGGAAAAAAUCCUGUGAGAACUUAGGCCUAAAUGUUAGCCCUGGGGAUGGUGGGCGAUAUGAGCCUUCUUUCGCUUUGAUUUUCACAUUUCCUAGGUUGUAGGUGAAACCGUUAUGCCAGAAAAAUGAAGUUACCAUGGAAAGGAGAGAGGUCUAAGGAAAACAGCCAGCUCCCCAUUCAUGAGACUCUGGGGUCACCAUGUGUGAGUGGCUUCCAGAGGGACCCUGGCCCCGGGCCCAUCCCCCAGAACAGGCACGCCUGGGGCAGACAGCUUAGCCCGUGUGUCUCUCUUUCUCGGAAUUUGGGUCAGCGAGAGUCCAGACCUGGGGCUACUGGGAUGUAGCACAGCCAGAAUGCCAUUCAAACCUCUGCUGUCCUUCCUGUCGUGUGGGUUAGGCCUCAGGGCCCUCGCCUUCCCACCUCCACCUGGAAAGCCACCCCACCCCACCCCAGGCUGCCCUCUGCCCCUCCCAGCCACAGGUGGCCCUAGGGCUAUUUGCUUCACCUCCAUCCGGGUGCCCAGGUGGGUGCGUAGGUAGCACUGUUGACUGCCUUCUUUACCGACUCCGACUCCAGCCCCGAAGUGCCAUUCCAGGGGUCCUCCUACAAUGUAGUCAAGUUCGACCUCGUGGAAAUGGUCUUUGGAAUCACAGCUGAGCCUGGAUCCUGGGUGAGGAUUCGAUCUCCGUCUCCCCUAUAUACCUAGUACAGAGCACCCAUUCAUUCGGUCAGCUGUUAUUCAGCCAAGUGCCAGGGCCCAGGCUAGGUGCCAGGGCCACAGAUCUGCUGACUUGAGGGUGUGACGUGUCUGUGUUUUUGAGCACGUGUUUUGUGCGCAUCACCUGCACACACACACAGCGCGAGCAUCUCUGUCAUAUGUGAACUCUGGUCUUUGAGGCUGUGACAGUGUGUAAUUCUGCCGGGACUCUGGGCACACCUGGUUAAUUCAUUCUGCAAGUGUUUGACAGACACCCACUAAGGAAGUACCAGGCUCUGACCCCAAAGAAAAAUGACCCAAUGUCUCUGUCCUCAGGAAGUGCCGUCUUGGGGGCUGUCGCAGUGCGGACUGGUGGGGGCAGUGGCCGGCAGGGCUGGGGGUGGUCAGAAACGUGGUGGUGGAGACACGGGGAAGAGUGGGGAAGGGUGUUCCUGCCCAGCUGUGAGGAUGAUCUCCAGUAUCCCCUUCAGCCCAGUGAUCUGGGGCCUGGGACAGGCCUCCCCAGCCAUUUUCAUGCCCUAAAGCAGCCCCGAGCGCCGACGGAACCGGAGCUCCAGGUGGUGACCCGUGGGCCCCGACUACUGGGGGCUGGGAGAGAAUACAGGGAAUGAAAAUGAAGCAUGUUGGCUGGAGGACCUGCCUGGGCUGCAGACCUUUCUGAGAGGCGAACUUGGGGACCAGGCACCAGAACACAGCACCUGGAAAGUAGAACCCCGUGAUCCAGACCAGAGAAGCGGGAUCACGGAACUUAGAGGAGGAAGAUGGAGCAGCAGACCUAGAAUGUGGGCCUUCUAGAACCUGGAACACUCAAGUCGGCCGGAACCUGGGAGAUCCAGUCUGUGCCCCCGGUGGUCAGUGGGGGGAAGGUGGAGGUCCGGCAGGAACGGGGAGGCCUUGAGCAUUGGUGAGCUGCAGUGGCACGCACGUGGUCUCUGCUGAGCCAGGACCUCCCCACAGCUCGCUGCUGCCUGACCUCGGGCGAGUCCUGUCCCCUCUCCAAACCUCAGUUUUCCCCUCUGUGAAAUGGUCACGUGACGGUGAGACAAGAUGGAGCACCUCACCUGGUGCUCAGGCUCUCCCGGCAAGCUAGUGGCAUGGCUAAGGCCUGGACCCUGCCACCUGACUCCUGAAUGAGUCUGUCCCCUUGUGGUGAUGGUCCGGUCACUGCUGCUCCUUUCUCUUCUUUCUCACACUCAGUGGGACAUUUGGGCACUUGCGGCCCUUUUCCGGAAUGCUCUCGGGAUCUAGCAGAGGGAAAAGACUAAUCAGAGGAGCAAGAACAGACUGGCGGCUCCAUAUGAAGGAGCAGGGGCCCGGUGCCUGCAGCCCUGCAUGGUGCCCUGUGCCAUUUGGUGAGGGCUUCUUGAGUGUCCCCCGGUGGAGACGGUCGGGUCCUGAGCCGAGGGCGCCGCGGCCCCUCGAAGGCAGAGGUGGGCAGAGGUGGAUUGGGAAGGGAAAAGAGAAAGGGCUCAUUGUUCCAGCUCCACGGAGGCUCCCCAGGUGCCCCUGCUCCAGGCCACCUCUCCUGAAGGAGAUGGAAGACCUUGCUCGGGCUCCCAGAGAGCUGGAGCUGUAGGAGCUGGGCCAGGAGCAGCCUGGUCACUUCCCCAGAUCCCUGUGAGGCUGCGUUACCAGCCCCCGCUUUUCUGCCUCCAAGAGAGCGGGAUUCCAGAGUUGGGGGCGGGGGGCGUUGGAGCCAGGCUUCCAGCCCAUCCUUUGAGCCAGCAGCAGCCGGGCAUGGUGCCAGGCACUGAGCACCCAGGGGGGAACCGAGAUCCCUUCCUGUUUCCCCUCCUUCCUUGCCGGGUCUCCUCCGGACCAUCAGCCAUCCUGCUCAGAGCACUUGGAAGGCUGGAGUCCUUCCCCGUGUCUCCGCUCUCCACCAUUUCCCUCCCAUUGUGGGGGACCCGUCGAGUUCCUGUACAUGAACCACCUCAUCAGGGUGUGCCUUGCCCAGGCAGGACUAGACUUUUUCGAACCCCAGACCAGUUCUGAAAGCCCAGCAGCACUGACUGCAGGUGCAGGUGUGUGGAUUUGGGAGCGGAGGGGGCGGGGUGUCGUUUAUUCAUUCAACAGGCCAAGGUCAGCGCCUCCUUUGCAUCAGGCUCUGUGCUGGGGCCCCAGGAGAGUUGGGCAGCACCGCCCAGUGUGGGGUGAGGCAGCUCAGUCCUUCCUCAGCCUGGGGGAAGUGCAGUUCAGCUGAGCCUCCCUGGGCAGGGAGUGAAAGAUGACACUGAAACUUGGAGCCUCCUAGAGGAUUUGGACUUUAUCCUGGGAGCAGGUGUUCCAAGCUGAGAGGGGCAGCAUCAGAUGUGGCUUUUGCUUGGCUCGUGGGGCUCAAGCCAGGAGCCCCUUCCCUGGCAAGGCUGCUGCUGUUGUCCAGGUGAGCGUGGCUGGUGGCACCGGCAGCGUGGGACAGUGGCACAGGGGGCCGGAUGGGACGACAAGUACCUGGGCAUGGAAGAGACGUGCCUGGCGAUGGGGAGCGCGAGGUCAGCGAGAAGCCAGAUUCAGGAUGACUGCCGGGGUCCUGGCCUGGGAGACUGGGUGGAUGGUCACAUCUCGGGUUAUCAGCUCAGGUUUCAGGAUGCACUAUUUGAGCGAGUUCUUUGUGGCUGGUUUUGCGGCAGAGGGUCCCAGGCAGGAUGGGAGCCGACUCUGCGCCCAGGCUCUGCCAGGUCUGCUCCUCUCUCUCCCUUAAGCCUACAGGCACUUCAGCCUCUUGAGUGCAGGGCUGCACCUCGCAACUGUGCCCUGUCCACAUGGGGGAGCGCCACUCCACUCCUGCUGCCUGGGUCCACAGGAACCACCCUCUGCCCAGGUGAAAUUACAAGAUGAGGACACAGUCCACCCUGAACAAUCAUAAACGAUAAACUGAAAAAUCAAACAGGCAUUUCCAAACAUUUCUGAACAGGACCUUCCUUGAUAUACACAUGUAAGUGACAGGUAUAAAACACAGCACUACUGGAACAUACAGAAGGGACAUCCCAGUUUUGCAUCAAUAUUGUCUGCUUUUUGGUGAAGGUGAUAUGUAAGCUGACACCUGAAGGACAAGAAAAUAGUAUGCUAGGUAGAGGGAAGAAGCAUAUAGAAAGAGCUAGAUGUGAGGAAGAACACUUGUGCAAUUAUGAGUAGUUUAGUUUGACAAGGUGCUAGAGCAAAGCAGCAGAGUAGGGCAAAUAGUGAGACAAGGCUGAAUAAUCUGGCAAGAAGCAAACUGAUUUGGGUGUUUUCAUUCCAUGCUAAGGAAUUUGAAGUUUCACCCAAGGGCAAAAGCAACGACAAAGUCAAUGAGUGAAGAUUGAAACCCGUUACCUGUCAAGUGACAGCUAUAUGACCUCUACUUACUUAACCAAGCAUUACUAAGAUGACUUUGGCUUUUUGGGUCUUCUAUCACUAGCGGAAACAACAAUUUGAUAAAGCACACCUUUUCUGAGACUUGUGCAGGUUGACAGCUCCAUAGGGAUGGCACCAGUGAAGGAAGAUUAUCGCCAGAAAUAAUAACAGAUAUAUAGACUUAGGGAGAUUGAAAAAACUUCUUUAACGUUUAUUUAGUUUUGAGAGAGAGACAAACCACAAGCGGGCAGGGGCACAGAGAGAGGGAGACCCAGAAUCUGAAGCAGGCUCCAGGCUCCGAGUUUUCAGCACAGAGCCCUCUGUAGGGUCUGCACCCACCUGAGCUGAAAUCAGUCGCCCAACCGACUGAGCCACCUGGGUGCCCCUAGACUUUUGGGAGAUUUUAAAAGAGCUAUGGAACAGGAGGACUAAAUGAGGAAGAAGUGUGUUCUUCAUUAUGCUCAUGCUUCUACAUUUUUUAUUAGAUAUGUACAAAAAAAAUGUGAAUGCAGUAUCCAUUAUCCAAACAAUGGAAAGGGAUGCCAUUUACUAUUUAUAGUUUAUUUCAGAAAUCAAUGAUAUCUAACUUCAUACAUUUUUGGCAACAUACCUUCUUCUAGUGCUCUGGUUACUCCUUUCUCCAACUCCCGCUGCAUCUGAGAUAAGUCAAAUAUUAUUUAGAAUGUGUAAGGUAAACAAAAGGCAUUGUAGGAAUUAUAUAUAGCUUACGACAUGUGGUCUUGAAACAAUACUUGUAGAGAUUAAACCAAAGCUAGGGAUUACUUCCAUAGAAAGACAAUCACAUGAAUAAAAUAAAUUCCUACCUAUUUUAUGUUAGUUUUAGGUAAUGGAGAACAGAUACAUACAUACAGACAGACACACACACACGUAUAUAUGUGUGUAUAUAUGUGUGUGUGUAUAUACGUAUAUAUGUGUAUAUUAUAUAUAUAUGUGUAUAUAUAUAUGUAUAAUGCUAUUUAAGUGAAUCUGAUAAAAAGCACAAUUAAUAUUGAUCUAUUGAAUGUGUAUAAUCUCUGAAAGGUGAUGUUUGAUCUUACUGGUACAAAAAAGUUUAAACAAGAAUCAUAUUGUAUACUGCAUUACUACUUGGAAAUGAUUAGAAAACCUGCCCUUUAUGAAAGUUUAAUCAGUUUUUUACCUGAAUGAAUUGUUCCUUAAAAUGGGCUUUCCAUUCUUUCACUUUUAGAAAAACAAAAUUUGAAGGAAUGCUUUUGCUGUUAAUUUUUCAGGACUGACUCUUAAAUACAUAUAAAAUGAAGAAAGUGGGACUGUCAUGCUGUCAUGUGGAAAAUUCUACUGGCAAAAAAUUGAGUGGACAGAGAACUUGAGAGAGAAAAUCUUCAGGUGAAGCAAGCAAGCUGAAACUGAGGAAAUUCUUCCUGAAAGAAUGAUUUAUUUCUUCCAAAGAAAUUUGGUUUAUCAAAAUCAAUCAACAAAUGAGUGAACCCAUGGUGUGGUUAUUUACAGCAAAAUUUAAAACCCAACAGAUUUCUCUUUCCCAUCUAGCAUGCUUCUGUCUAACCUCUCAUCAUUAGUUGGAAGGGAGACUUACCUAAUGGGUGAACUUGGGAGAAGGAGCUAAGCAGUGCUUAUGUGUUUCUGAGUCUCCUCUUUGAAAAGAUGUGCCUGCCCACAGUAACAUGAAUUUGGGUCUGCUCUCAGCUCUGUGAAAGAGAAGAGCAGUGUUGUCGCCUACCCAGUGUCACCUGUCACAGCUCCACCAAGAAAAAUGACUAGACAACACUUACAGAAACAUUCUCUUCUUCCUUGACUUCAUAACUAAUGUACAUUGUUCAAAAGCAACGCCCACUCAAAAGAGAGAAAAAGUUGAAAGAAACCAUUUUAGAAACAAACAUAGAAAGUCAGACAAACUGAGGACACAGAGGAAUACCUUCCAAAUGAAAGAACAUGACAAAAUAAGAAAAAAAAAACUAACAAAACUAAGAAAAAAAACUAAGAAAAAAAAAACAGAGAGAAGUGAUGAGUUCAAGGUAAAGGUCAUAAAGAUGCUCAGUGAACUUGGGAGGAGAAUGAAUGGAUCCAGUGAUAACAUCUACAAAGAGAUAGAAAAUAUAAAAAAGAACCAAUCAGAGCUGAAGGAUACAAUAACAGAAAUGACAAAUACACUAGGGGGAAUCAACAGCAGAUAAGAAGAUGCAGAAGAACAGAUCAACAAUUUGCAAGACAGGGUAGUAGAAAUCAUCCAAGCUGAAAAACAAAAAGAAAAAAGAACUUUAAAAAUGAGACUAGGUUAAGGGACCUGUGGGACAACAUCCAGUGUAAUAAUACUUGCAUUCAAGGGGUUCCAGAAAAAGAAAAAGAGAAAUGGGCAAAGAACUCAUUUGAAGAAAUAAAAGCUUCAUUUUAAAAAUUCAAA